ACAUACGACCAUAGGGUGUGGAGAACAGGGCUUCCCGUCUGCUCAGCCGUACUUAAGCCACACGCCGGCCGGUUAGUAGUUGGGUGGGUGACCACCAGCGAAUCCCGGCUGUUGUAUGUU
rnacentral:rRNA from 1 species